GUUCUGGUCAAUCCUUCAACUGUUUUCUUCCGUUUCAAUGAAUCUUCUUCCUUUUCCAGGGUGGUGAUGGCAUAGGCAGUUGCUGCAACAACAAUUUCAUAUUCCUCAUCACUGAGGUUCUCCAAGGGAUAAGAUGAACAAAAGAAAUCUGUUCAGGCUCAAAAUUUAGUGGCAUGGUCUACUUGUGAUGAACAAGAAAAGAGAUGAAGAGCUAAGCAAGCAAAGGUGAGAUGUGCCUUCCCAUACAUUGCAAGUUCAAAUUUGUAUCUGAGAAGCUUGUGAUUGAAGCAAGAGAUUCUCCCUUUCCCAAUUACAAAGGUUUCAGCAAAGAUGGUCAAAUAUUGGUGCUGGUGUUCUAUGUAUUCCAUGCAGUAGAUUUUAUGCGACACUAAUGUCAGAGUAAAUCCAAUAAUUUUCGAGUCAUUCCUAGAAUAAUUUUCACAGGAUAUAUUGUAAAAAAAAAUAAAAAAUAAAAUCAGGAGGGGGUUUUCAUAGGAGAUGCCAAUGAUGUGGAUUGAGGAAGGCUGAAGUACUUAUAUAUUUAUAAUCAAUUGAGAACAUAUCUUAUAUUGUAAUAUCCAAUUUAAACUGCUGGUUCAAUUGAAUCGGCCAAUCUUAAACGUAAACCUGUAAGACAAGCCAACGGAACAUGGACGAAUCGCGACCGUUUGUGUGCGUAGACUCCCCAAACAGAGUCGGAUUGAACCGUUGAGUGAAGGAACGUGUAUGGGAGGAAUUUUUAUUAGGUGUUCGGACCU